rnacentral:rRNA from 1 species
GACGAACGCUGGCGGCGUGCUUAACACAUGCAAGUCGAACGGAAAGGCCUGCUUUCCCUUGUGGAUUGCGGGUACUCGAGUGGCGAACGGGUGAGUAACACGUGAGUGAUCUGCCCCCAACUUGGGUAUAAGCCUGGGAAACUGGGUCUAAUUCCCGAUAGGACUGCAGGGUGGUGCCUGUGGUGGAAAACGAUUUUCUAGUGGUUGGGGAUGAGCUCGCGGCCUAUCAGCUUGUUGGUGGGGUAAUGGCCUACCAAGGCGGCGACGGGUAGCCGGCCUGAGAGGGUGGACGGCCACAUUGGGACUGAGAUACGGCCCAGACUCCUACGGGAGGCAGCAGUGGGGAAUAUUGCACAAUGGGCGGAAGCCUGAUGCAGCGAAGCCGCGUGGGGGAUGACGGCCUUCGGGUUGUAAACUCCUUUCGACCGCGAGGAAGCCACCUGGUUGGAAGGGUGGUGACGGUAGUGGUAGAAGAAGCACCGGCUAACUACGUG